GGAUGCGGUUCGCCCGGCACGUAAUGCGGCGGGUGGUCCUGGCGGUGCUCCACUGCCGGGAUCGCGGGGUCCUGCACAGGGACAUCAAGCUCCAGAACGUCCUUCUGAACACAGAGACGCUGGAGGUGAAGCUGAUCGAUUUUGGAUGCGGCGACCUGUUGAAGGACACUCCCUACAACACAUAUUCAGGCACGUGGGUAUACUCGCCACCUGAGUGGAUAACCAAGCAGAAGUACUAUGGCUGCCCUGCGACCGUCUGGAGUCUGGGCGUACUUCUGUUUGCCUUGGUUUGUGGACGCCUGCCAUUUCGGUCUAAGAAGGAGAUCACCAAAGGGCAUCUAGUGUUCAAACCUGGUGUGUCUGAUGCCUGCUGCCAUCUGAUUGAACAAUGCCUCAAGAAGAAGCCCAGCAAGCGUCUCACCCUCGGGCAGAUCCUCCUGCACGGGUGGUUCAAUGAGUAACCCGAAGACUAGGUCCAGACGGUGUAGAUCUUUACACUCGUACUGGCGGCUGCAAAAAAGAGGGAUCUGCGCGUCUUCCACUGAAGGUACGACCGGCUGAUACAGAUGCUGGAGAAUCGGACUGAUGUGGGCCGAAGUGGAGCUGGCGCAGAUCGGGAUCCAGCACGUCAACUUUAUGGCCAUCGUCUUUGAGCUGGUGCUGCUGGGAAUUCUGUGAAGAGCGAGGAUGCAUCAGAUCAUCUCAUUGACGCAGUACCGGAGACGAAGGCUCUUUCUGGACCGGCUGAUUGCUCUCAUCUAUUCGUGUGUUACGCCCAGAUAGACUGAACGUGUUAUUUAUUCCAUCUUCAGACUGAGAUGCUGAGCUUCCUGGAUGAAAUCUUCACUCUGGACGAGUCUUUGUAUGCAGAACCUGAAGCCCUGGCUGCUGCACUGGAGACGCUUUUAUGGCAGAGCCUCCAACGGUUUCAUGAAAGGCUGGAAACAGAGGACAUCUAAAGGCCAACCUUGAUUAGAACCUUUAUUUAACUGUCAGGGAUGCAUGUCUGGUGGUUGACGUGUUUUUAAUGUUUGUUCACAGUUUGUGUACUUGUGGAGGUGCGUCAGGACCCAAGACAUCGGCGACGUGUGAAGAUACCACCGAUGUGGAAGCAUGUAUUAGGAUCUCUGAGAGACCUGCUGCCUUUAAGACGAUGUCUUUACAUCAGGACAACGCCCGGAUGACUUUGUGGACCAGAUCCAGAUGUGUAAAAAGCUGAUGUUCUGUAAAAAUUUAAUAAAAAAAGAAGAAACUGUGA